AUGAACGCUAGCGACAGGCCUAACACAUGCAAGUCGAGGGGCAGCACAAGGAGCAAUCUGAGGUGGCGACCGGCGCACGGGUGAGUAACACGUAUGCAACCUGCCUGUAAGCGGGGAAUAACCCGUUGAAAGACGGACUAAUACCGCAUAAUACUAGAUUACUGCAUGGUAAUUUAUUUAAACAUUUAUGGCUUACAGAUGGGCAUGCGCAUGAUUAGCUAGUUGGAGAGGUAACGGCUCCCCAAGGCAACGAUCAUUAGGGGUUCUGAGAGGAAGGUCCCCCACACUGGUACUGAGACACGGACCAGACUCCUACGGGAGGCAGCAGUGAGGAAUAUUGGUCAAUGGACGAGAGUCUGAACCAGCCAAGUCGCGUGCAGGAAGAAUGUCCCUAUGGAUUGUAAACUGCUUUUGCAGGGGAAUAAAGUGCAUCACGUGUGAUGUUUUGUAUGUACUCUGCGAAUAAGGAUCGGCUAACUCCGUGCCAGCCGCCGC
rnacentral:rRNA from 1 species